rnacentral:rRNA from 1 species
AAGGAGUCUAACAUAUACGCGAGUAUUUGGGUGGUUCAAACCCGAGUGCGGAGUGAAAGCGAGAUCGAAGAGAGCGCGAGGGUGGGAGCCUUUCUUGCCCGACGGACAAGAAAGAGGCACCAUCGGCCGACCUGGUGCGUGCAGCAGGCUUGAGCCAGAGCGUGUACGUUGGGACCCGAAAGAUGGUGAACUAUGCCUGAGCAGGGUGAAGCCAGGGGGAAACUCUGGUGGAAGCUCGUCGCGAUACUGACGUGCAAAUCGUUCGUUGGACUUGGGUAUAGGGGCGAAAGACUCAUCGAACUAUCUAGUAGCUGGUUCCCUCCGAAGUUUCCCUCAGGAUAGCUGGAACAUGUACAGUUUUAUCAGGUAAAGCUAAUGAUUAGAGGUCCUGGAGUUGUAACAACUUUAACCUAUUCUCAAACUUUAAAUAGGUAAGAAGCUGGGCGAUGCUUGAGUGAUCCCCAGCCUCGAAUGGAAUGUUUCUAGUGGGCCUGUUUUGGUAAGCAGAACUGGCGAUGC